GUGCUCACUUUGGCAGCACAUAUAGUAAAACUGGAACGAUACAGAGAAGAUUAGCAUCGCCUUUGUGCAAGGAUGGCACACAAAUUCAUGAAGCGUUUCAUAUUUUU